UGAAAAACAUGCAUAUGAAUUUUCACGCUAGCCAACUAAGCAGCAGAAAAGAGAGCCCCAACUGUGCGUUAUGUGCUGUAAGAGAGGCCCAGACUGAUAAUCUGUAGUUUCGGGCAAAUGCACUAGGGGCCGCCCAUAUUUUGCUGCAGUGGGCCGCUUCUCACCUGGAACGCUGCACUGAAGUUUUUUUUAGCUUCAGAGCAUCCGACGGGCUCUAGGACCGCUCCUCCAUCGUAUCCCCAUCCUGGCUCUGCCCCUCCCACUCCUCUCCUCUGUUGUCGCGCUGCUGCUGCUACCUGCUGUGUGAGUGUCCCAGCACGAUCAGCACUGGGCAGGAGGAUCGCUCGAAACGAUGGAGGCAGCCAGGACAGCGUGUCUGCAGAGUCACUGCGCAGCAGGAAGUGUGUAGGCGGCUGUGCAGGAAGGAAGAGUGCAAGAUCCUGCAGCGGG